rnacentral:rRNA from 1 species
CACGUAGGCGGUUUGUCGCGUCGGGAGUGAAAACUUACAGCUUAACUGUGAGCGUGCUUUCGAUACGGGCAGACUUGAGGUAUGCAGGGGAGAACGGAAUUCCUGGUGUAGCGGUGAAAUGCGCAGAUAUCAGGAGGAACACCGGUGGCGAAGGCGGUUCUCUGGGCAUGACCUGACGCUGAGGAGCGAAAGUGUGGGGAGCGAACA